UACAGAGGGUGCGAGCGUUGUUCGGAAUUACUGGGCGUAAAGCGCGCGCAGGCGGCCCUUUAAGUCUGCCGGUCAAAUGCCGGGGCUCAACCCCGAGCUCGCCGGAGAUACUGUCGGACUAGAGUCCGGAAGAGGCAAGUGGAAUUCCCGGUGUAGCGGUGAAAUGCGCAGAUAUCGGGAGGAACACCAAUGGCGAAGGCAGCUUGCUGGGACGGUACUGACGCUGAGGCGCGAAAGCGUGGGGAGCAAACAGG
rnacentral:rRNA from 1 species